UGCGGAAGGAUCAUUAUUGAAUAAAGCUUGGUUAGGUUGUCGCUGGCUCUCCGGGGCAUGUGCACGCCUGACGCCAAUCUUUUCACCACCUGUGCACAUUUUGUAGGCUUGGAUAAAUAUGUCUCGAGGAAGCUCGGUUUGAGGAUUGCCGUGCUGCAAAAGCCAGGCUUUCCUUGUAUUUUUCCAGCCUAUGCAUUUUAUUAUACACUCGGUAUGUCAUGGAAUGUUAUUUGGUUGGCUUAAUUGCCAGUAAACCUUAUACAACUUUCAACAACGGAUCUCUUGGCUCUCGCAUCGAUGAAGAACGCAGCGAAAUGCGAUAAGUAAUGUGAAUUGCAGAAUUCAGUGAAUCAUCGAAUCUUUGAACGCACCUUGCGCUCCUUGGUAUUCCGAGGAGCAUGCCUGUUUGAGUGUCAUGAAAUUCUCAACCUUUUCAGCUUUUUGUUGAAUAGGCUUGGAUUUUGGGAGUUGUUGCAGGCUGCUCAGAAGUCUGCUCUCCUUAAAUGUAUUAGCGGGGCCCUUGUUGUCUAGCAUUUGGUGUGAUAAUUAUCUACGCCAUUGUGAACAAUGUAAUAGGUCGGCUUCUAAUCGUCUCGUAAAGAGACAAUCUCUGACAUUUUGACCUCAAAUCAGGUAGGACUACCCGCUGAACUUAAGCAUAUCAAUAAGCGGAGGAAAAGAAACUAACAAGGAUUCCCCUAGUAACUGCGAGUGAAGCGGGAAAAGCUCAAAUUUAAAAUCUGAUGGUCUUUAUGGCCU
rnacentral:rRNA from 1 species